rnacentral:rRNA from 1 species
AACGUAGGGCGCAAGCGUUAUCCGGAAUUAUUGGGCGUAAAGAGCUCGUAGGCGGUUUGUCGCGUCUGCUGUGAAAGACCGGGGCUCAACUCCGGUUCUGCAGUGGGUACGGGCAGACUAGAGUGAUGUAGGGGAGACUGGAAUUCCUGGUGUAGCGGUGAAAUGCGCAGAUAUCAGGAGGAACACCGAUGGCGAAGGCAGGUCUCUGGGCAUUAACUGACGCUGAGGAGCGAAAGCAUGGGGAGCGAACAGG